AGGGCGUACGGAGGAUGCCUAGGUAGUAAAAGCCGAAGAAGGACGUGAUAAGCUGCGAAAAGCUAGGGGGAGUUGCACAUGAACAAAGAUCCCUAGAUAUCCGAAUGGGAGAACCUGUAUAUUAGGAGAAUAUACACGAAAGAGGUAAGCCCGUGAACUGAAACAUCUAAGUAACGGGAGGAAAAGAAAGUAAAAACGAUUUUCUAAGUAGCGGCGAGCGAACGGGAAGGAGCCUAAACCAUAGUGGUGAAAAAGUUGGCGACGAUGCCAUUAUGGGGUAGAGGGGCUACAAGCACAGAUAGCCAUGAAGUGAGUUAUGUAUAUACUGUAAGAGGAAUAUAGUUGGAAAGCUAAACCAAAGAAGGUGAUAGUCCUGUAGGAUGUAGAGUAUAUAUGUAUAGAGUAGAACCCCGAGUAGCAUCAAGCACGAGGAAUUUGGUGUGAAUCAGUGAGGACCAUAUCUCAUAAGGCUAAAUACUUUUACUAACCGAUAGUGAAGAGUACCGUGAGGGAAAGGUGAAAAGAACCCUGAGUAAGGGAGUGAAAUAGAAUUUGAAACCGUACGCUUACAAGCGGUAGGAGCAGGGUAACCUGUGACUGCGUGGAUUUUGGUUAAUCAUCCUGCGAGUUAUGAUAUAUGGCAAGGUUAAGGAAAGCGGAGCCGAAGGGAAACCAAGUCUUAAAAGGGCGAAAGUCGUAUGUCAUAGACGCGAAACCUAGUGAUCUAGGCCUGUCCAAGUUGAAGCUAAGGUAAGACUUAGUGGAGGACUGAACUCACCGCCGUUGAAAUGAUGGGAGAUGAGAUAGGUUUAGGGGUGAAAAGCCAAUCGAACUAGGAGAUAGCUCGUUCUCUCCGAAAUGCAUUUAGGUGCAGCCUUAAUAGAAGAUAUGUGGGGGUAGAGCACUGUAUGACCUAGGGGGCGUAUAGCUUACUGAAGUCAAGCAAACUACGAAUACCAUAUAUUAAUAAUUGGGAGUGAGUCUAUGGAUGACAAGGUCCAUGGACGAGAGGGAAAAAGCCCAGAACAACAGCUAAGGUCCCGAAUUAUGUCUAAGUGGGAAAGGAGGUGGAUAUUCCCAGACAACCAGGAGGUUGGCUUAGAAGCAGCCAAGCCUUAAAAGAGUGCGUAAUAGCUCACUGGUCGAGAGUAUCUGCGCCGAAGAUUUAACGGGGCUAAGACAUAAACCGAAGCUUUGUAACAUAAUGUAAGUUAUGUUGGUAGGAGAGCGUUCUGUAAGCCGUAGAAGGAGGAUUGAAAGAGAAUCUGGAGGUAUCAGAAGUGAGAAUGCAGGAAUGAGUAGCGAGAAAGAGGGUGAGAAUCCCUCUGACCGGAAGUCCAAGGAUUCCAGGGGAAGGUUUGUCCGCCCUGGGGGAGUCGGGACCUAAGGAUAAACAGAAAUGUGAAGCCGAAUGGAAAAUAGGUAAAUAUUCCUAUACCACUUAAUUAACGAUUGAAGGGAUGGAGUGACGCAGGAAGGUAUGUAAGAUGACUGACGGAAUAGUCAUUUUAAGGAAGAAGUAUGGGUUUACAGGAAAAGCCGUAGACUUAAAUAUGAGAACUGAAGAGUAAGCAUAUGUAAAGUAUGUAAGUUACAAAUCCUACACUGCCGAGAAAAACUUCUACUGAGGAGAUUAAGUGCCCGUACCGUAAACCGACACAGGUGGACAGGGUGAGAAACCUAAGGUCGACAGGCUAACUCUAGCUAAGGAACUCUGCAAAAUAGCCCCGUAACUUAGGGAGAAGGGGUACCUAUGAAAGUGAGUAAAGAGACAUUACGAGCAAGAGUAGGUCGCAGUGAAGAGUCCCAAGCAACUGUUUACCAAAAACACAGGUCUAUGCUAAGCCGGAAGGCGACGUAUAUGGGCUGACACCUGCCCAGUGCUGGAAGGUUAAGAGGAGGAUUGAGAGAUUCGAAUUGAAGCCCCAGUGAACGGCGGCCGUAACUAUAACGGUCCUAAGGUAGCGAAAUUCCUUGUCAGGUAAGUUCUGACCUGCACGAAUGGUGCAAUGAUUUGGGAGCUGUCUUGGCUGGAGGCCUGGUGAAGUUGUAAUAGCGGUGAAGAUACCGCUUACCUGCAGUAGGACGGAAAGACCCCGUGGAGCUUUACUGUAGUUUGGCAUUGGGUUUUGG
rnacentral:rRNA from 1 species